rnacentral:rRNA from 1 species
UACGUAGGGGGCAAGCGUUGUCCGGAAUCAUUGGGCGUAAAGAGCGCGUAGGCGGUCCGGUAAGUCCGCUCUGAAAGUCCGGGGCUCAACCCCGGGAGGCGGGCGGAUACUGUCGGGCUCGAGUCCGGAAGAGGAGUGUGGAAUUCCUGGUGUAGCGGUGAAAUGCGCAGAUAUCAGGAGGAACACCAAUGGCGAAGGCAGCACUCUGGGACGUGACUGACGCUGAGACGCGAAAGCGUGGGGAGCAAACAGG